GCAACCUGCCUCAUAGAGGGGAAUAGCCUUUCGAAAGGAAGAUUAAUACCGCAUAAGAUUGUAGCUUCGCAUGAAGUAGCAAUUAAAGGAGCAAUCCGCUAUGAGAUGGGCCCGCGGCGCAUUAGCUAGUUGGUGAGGUAACGGCNCACCAAGGCGACGAUGCGUAGCCGACCUGAGAGGGUGAUCGGCCACAUUGGGACUGAGACACGGCCCAGACUCCUACGGGAGGCAGCAUG
rnacentral:rRNA from 1 species